UACGUGAGCAACAAACAAAACUAUGGAUAAGGGUCUUCGGGGUGGGCACCAGCGUGGCACUCCCAUUUUACCUCUACGCUUGAGCGGUGGUGCAUGUUGUACUCGCAGUCAGUCUUUCCACAAGGGAAUUGCAGUAUGUGCUAAAAAUACUGUUGAGCACAUGGGAAUACAGAGUGUUAUCGCAUACGGAGGGGAAGAAGGAAUGUCAGAUCCACAAGAAGCAACCAUAGAAGAGGGACAACUUAGCACUGAAUGUUCUGAGGAUGAGAAAGCAAUCUGUUUGGAAGCAAAUCAUAAGUAAAAAAAAGCUUACAGGAAGAGUCAUUUAUUAUUUAGCUGUGUUUAAAGUCACUCAUCUCUGGAGAUACAUGGAAGAGGAUGCUGUUUGAUACAGGAGGACUGCGGUGACUCUUGCUCCCCUGCAGCCUGCCAUGUGCCCUGGCUCUGCUGUCCCAACUCUGGGUGGCACACAACGACUGUGAUUUAAGAGAGCAGCAGAAGAGAAAGGUGUUUCUGAAAACCUUUUUAGAAAAAUUACCCACGACUCUUUGUGAAAUUCAGAUUACAGAGGGCAGCAUCUGCUGAAUUAUUUAGAUUUGUACAUUCAGGUACUACAAUCAUAUAAUCAGAAGAGAGAGUUACUUGUGAAGGACAAUAAAGUAAUAAACAAAAUGUUCUGGAUAAAUAACUAACCAACAUGAUGAGAUUUCAGCCUUGGAGAGCUAUCGAGCUAAUUCCUGCCCAUUUUACUCAUUUGAGUAGUUUCAUUAAGAGCAAACUGCUUCUUAGUAAAUUGCUAGUUAUAAUAAAAACAAUUAAGCUUGUUGUUUUAGUUCUUCUUGUUCCACAUUUUUAUAAUUCUAGUCAUAACCAUUAAAACUUGUACUUUCAUACUCCCUCUGCUAAACCGCUCAGCUUCCUCGCUCUGUAGGACUCUUUUAGCACAUGCAAAAUAGUUAGAACACGAGUAAAUACAUCCAGAACAGGUGCACAAGAGGGACGAUGCACCUGUCUGCUCACUCUGCCCACAGGAGGUAUGUGGUGCUGCAGAGCUAUGAGAUCCAGAACCCGGGUAAUUCCAUACCAAAAUGUUGACAGCAUCUGAUGCACACAAGAGGUAUGCUGAACAUCCAGAACUGCCUGUCCCACUGAACACAACACCACGAAAAGACAGUAAUCAUUUAGUUGCCAUAAAAAAACAGGCGUGUCUUAUAAACAUAUCUGAAAGGUGCACCCCCCCCCCCCCCCAAAUCAACACAGUGAUAAAGGCUUUGUAACUUUAAUAAUUAAUUUGGAAAAGUUGCCCUUCCUUUUCUUAUCCCUUAAGUAGCAGUAUUAACAUCAUAGUGACUUCUGUCAAGUUGUUUUAUUAACCCUACCUUUAUUUAUUUAUUUAUUUGUUAUGUUUAUAAUGGUUCUCCAUGCUACAUCGAGAAAGGGGUGGCUACAAAUGUAUCGGCUUUGAGCAGCGAGUUUCUUU